rnacentral:tRNA from 1 species
GUCCUGCGUGGCGUGCGUGGUGCCGUCAGGUGGCCUCAGGCGCCGGCCGGGCUCGUUCGGUGUCCGGUGCUGGUUUC